UUAGGGUGACCUGAUGCUUUUACGUGCAAGAAACAACGGUAGAGGGGGCAACCCCUUGAGAGUGGCGAACGGGUGAGUAAUAUAUCGGAACGUGCCCAGUCGUGGGGGAUAACGUAGCGAAAGUUACGCUAAUACCGCAUACGAUCUAUGGAUGAAAGCGGGGGACCGUAAGGCCUCGCGCGAUUGGAGCGGCCGAUAUCAGAUUAGGUAGUUGGUGGGGUAAAGGCUCACCAAGCCAACGAUCUGUAGCUGGUCUGAGAGGACGACCAGCCACACUGGAACUGAGACACGGUCCAGACUCCUACGGGAGGCAGCAGUGGGGAAUUUUGGACAAUGGACGCAAGUCUGAUCCAGCCAUUCCGCGUGCAGGAUGAAGGCCCUCGGGUUGUAAACUGCUUUUGUACGGAACGAAAAGGUCUCUAUUAAUACUAGGGGCUCAUGACGGUACCGUAAGAAUAAGC
rnacentral:rRNA from 1 species